GAUGAAGAACGCAGCGAAAUGCGAUAAGUAAUGUGAAUUGCAGAAUUCAGUGAAUCAUCGAAUCUUUGAACGCACCUUGCGCUCUUUGGUAUUCCGAAGAGCAUGCCUGUUUGAGUGUCAUGAAACUCUCAACUCCCAACUUUCUUAAUAGUCGGUUGGGAGCUUGGACUUGAGCGUUGCUGGUCUUCAUUGACCGGCUCGCUUGAAAUGAAUUAGCAGAUCCUUUUUGUAAUCGGUUCCACUCGACGUGAUAAGUAUUUCGCCGAGGACAUCUUAACGGAUGGCCGAGAUAAAGAAAGUCUUAAGAUCCGCUUCUAAUUCUUAGAUAGAGCUUGCUCUACUAAACCCCUUUUAUGAUCUGGCCUCAAAUCAGGUAGGACUACCCGCUGAACUUAAGCAUAUCAAUAAGCGGAGGA
rnacentral:misc_RNA from 1 species